AACGGAGUGCCUGAAUAAAGGGUUACCUUGAUAGGGUAAAUUAAGUAAUCUCAAAAUUACCUCCGUUA
rnacentral:tRNA from 1 species